CAGUAGCCGCGGUAACACGGAGGAUCCAAGCGUUAUCCGGAUUUAUUGGGUUUAAAGGGUGCGUAGGUGGCCUGUUAAGUCAGGGGUGAAAGACGGUAGCUCAACUAUCGCAGUGCCCUUGAUACUGAUGGGCUUGAAUGAACUAGAGGUAGGCGGAAUGUGACGAGUAGCGGUGAAAUGCAUAGAUAUGUCACAGAACACCAAUUGCGAAGGCAGCUUACUAUGGUUUUAUUGACACUGAGGCACGAAAGCGUGGGGAUCAAACAGGAUUAGAUACCCCAGUAGUCCCUGUCUCUUAUAC
rnacentral:rRNA from 1 species